CUUAUGCAAAUGUGUACACUCUUUGCUUCUGUCAUCAUGUUUGUAUGAAUCAAAAUACCUUUGGAACACAUAUAUGACGAUUAAAGCAUAACAUUCAUAGUCGUAUGUCUCCUUGUGCUCAAACUCGUGACUUCACGAUAGACACAGAAACGUUCAUUUAACAGCAAGUACAAACGUUGUAAAUAAGGAAAGCUAAUUUAUACAGUGAUAUUUUGAAAAUAUCAGAUGGAGGGAGUUAUUGUGGACCAUCAAUCUCGGAUACACUCAAAAGAUAAUUCAUGCUAUAGACGUUUAAAAAUUCCGUCUGGACUAGUUUCGAAAUAUUACCAAUAGUGUGCUGAAUUAGGGUAAGGUUUAAGGUAUGUAUGCAAAUCAUACCAAACUUAUCCAGUUUUGUGACAUUUACCGAUUGUAUUUUACCUCAUAGUGUUUUAACUUCAUUAAGUAUAUAGAUAUUGAUUUUCAAACAAUGAGGGACAAUUGUUUUGUCUUCGAGGUGAUACAAAUAUAAUCUAUGUGACAUUUUUCGACUAGUUUGUGAUUUUUUACCUAUUAUAAGUAUAUUUGUUAUUAUACCAUUGCAUGUUGUUGUUUUACACAAUGUUUCUGACCAUUAAUGUUACUACACACGUGUCAAUUUCUAUAUGGAUAUACAUACAGAAACAUAUCCAUUUGCGUGACAUUUUUCGACUUUAAUGCGCUUUCCUCUGCAUAUUACGACCAGCAAUGGCUUUUGUUGUUUAGUCAUCCAUUUGAUUGUCGUCUUGUCGCAGUUCCUAUCCGUCGGUUAAAUAAUUGAACAAGUAUAAUAUUUAUUUCAUCACUUGCAUACAUAAAAAAUUAUGUUAUCAGGUCCCGCUGCUUUUUCAGAUUUAAGGUGUUUAAUAGAAAGUCUCACUUCAUCUUCCUUAUUGUCAGUAUUCAAUAUAAUAUUCUUUAAUCUCAUCCAAAUCUUCAUCUGUUUCAACAUCUAUCAAAUGUUCAUUUUUGUCCGCCGCUUUAUCAUUUUUUAAUAAACUACCAAAGUGCCUAACCAAUUCUUUGGUUGAUAUGUUGUUAUGGAUGUCUCGACAUUGUGUUAAACCAUCAACGUCGAUAACCUGACAUCAUUAGAAUAUAUUAUAGUAACAAAUAUCUAAAAAUUAUAUAUCCUAAAAGAAAUGGAUAUCUUACAGCCUCAGGUGACAAUAAUGCGUGAACUCUUGUGUAUAAAGUGAAUUGGGAAGACAUAAUAUGUCAAUUAUAAAAUUGUUAAUUUAAAAGUGUUAAAUAUGUGGUUAAAAUCACAAAACUCAUAAAAAACAUUGUUGAAAAAAGGAUAAGGGCCGAAAGUUAUUCGAGGGCAAAAACAUCACAAAGAGCUCGAAAAAUGUCACAACGUUGCCUAUAUGUCGAACCUAAGUCAAAACCCAAGUUUAACAUUGGUCGGGAAAUCAUAACUUGAAAACAAUCGAUGUCAGAACAAAAGAUGCUUUUAUUAAAGCAAUAAAAAGGGUUAAAUCAAUCACCAGCAAAACAAAUUAGUCAACAGGAUAGUUUUAAAGACAUUGAAUCAUGAAGUCGAAUCAGU